rnacentral:rRNA from 1 species
UACGUAGGGUGCGAGCGUUGUCCGGAAUUACUGGGCGUAAAGAGCUCGUAGGUGGUUUGUCGCGUCGUCUGUGAAAUUCCGGGGCUUAACCUCGGGCGUGCAGGCGAUACGGGCAAUACUUGAGUGCUGUAGGGGAGACUGGAAUUCCUGGUGUAGCGGUGAAAUGCGCAGAUAUCAGGAGGAACACCAAUGGCGAAGGCAGGUCUCUGGGCAGUAACUGACGCUGAGGAGCGAAAGCAUGGGUAGCGAACAGGAUUAGAUACCCCCGUA